rnacentral:rRNA from 1 species
UGCGUAGGCGGUUUGAUAAGUCAGUUGUGAAAUUCCCCGGCUUAACCGGCGGGACUGCGAUUGAUACUGUCAAACUUGAAUCAGGUUGAGGUAGGCGGAAUGUGGCAUGUAGCGGUGAAACGCAUAGAUAUGCCAUAGAACACCGAUUGCGAAGGCAGCUUGCUGGACCUUGAUUGACGCUGAGGCACGAAAGCGUGGGGAGCGAACAGGAUUAGAUACCCUGGUAGUCC